UAAAUGACUUCCUAGAAAUAAGAAAGAGCAUUUUUUUUCCUAUUUAUUUGACCCUCUUGUAAACUACUUGGAUCGGCUUGAAGUCAUUGGGCGGAAGUGGUGAAACAACAUGCUAAAAGAAAUUCCUUUUAGCAACUCAAUAUUAGGCUUUGGAGUUUUUCUUAGCCAGAGUUGUUUUCCCUCUUCUCAACUCUGUCUCUCUCAGGCGAAACAGUGUUAGAUCUGCAGAACUUUAUUUCUCUAUUUAUGCCUUUUUCACUUUUGUUGAGUAAAAGUUAUUUUUUCGGGAUCUGUUCAGAUAUUUUCCUUAUUCCGUUUUGGGAUCACUGAGAAGUUCAUUGAUCUAUAUGGGUUGAUUCCUACGGCUAUUGUGAAAUUGAAUUAGUGUUUGUGUUAUCUCUAGCGCGUACUGUUCAGGAUGAUGAAGAAGACUAUAAACAACCAAGCCAUGGAACUGAGCUACCUGCUUGAAAAAAUUGAUACAGCAGCCUACGAUUUCACCUCUUGUUGGCUUUCUCAGGUUCUCGCUUCCCUCCUCCUUAUGUGAUGUGUCAAGAAUAAACUAUGGGCACAAUUUAAUCUCACGGUUUAACAAUAGCCUCUUAUGACUUUCCAUUUAACUUUAUGAAAGCAUAGCCACAAUCACGAUUCCUCUAUCUCUUUUCACUAAUAUAUUACCCACAAAAGCUGCAAUGGGUAGAAAAUGUAAUUAGUUUGGGGGUAGAAAAACUAAUGGGUAGAUAAGGGUAAUUAGUUUAGUUUUUGUGGGUAAAGGUAUAAAACUCUCAUUAUCUUUGUCAAUUCAGUUUCCAAAAGAGAUCAAAAAGUGGGGGUCUGUGCAUUUGAGCCUUUUAUUUUGCACUUUUCCUUCGAAUGAGUGUUUCCUGAUCAGUCAUUUCCAAGCCAAACUUUCGAAACAACUUCCCUCUCUUCCUUUCUGAGUUUCUGUUUCUUUUUUCCUCCAUGGGUAUAGUAAUAUUUUGUGGCCAAUGAACUUCAUCCACUGUAACAUUAAAGUCACCUUAUUGGGUAGGCUUUGUCAUUUAUGGAUAAAGCUUAAUGACUUACUAUUGUAGUAAGUACAUUUCAACUACUUUAAUGUGACAAUAAAGUUUUGUGACUUUACCGUUAUAGUCGGUCGAGUUUAGUUACUUUACUGUUAUACAGGUUAAAGUUCGGUUACUUUAGCGCGACAAAACAAUUUCUAACUUUACCAUUAUAAUGGAUAAAGUACGUGAAAUUUAACCCUUAAAAGUUUCUUGUAAAUUCCUUUUACUUGCAACUAUUUCGAAUUAUAUUUGUUCACCCAAUUAACAUCCGAUGAUAUUUCAAAUCCCUGUCAAAGAUAGCCAUUGCAAAUGAAAGUUGAACAUGAAAAGACAAUGCAGGAUGGAAAAAACACAUGGUAAGUGAAGUCUUGUCAAGGCAAAACCAAACAAACGUCUAAAGCAUAGUUGAUGCUAUAACUAGAAAAAUUGAAAUAUAGGGAAAACAGACUCACGAGGGCGUAUAUAUCAAGUACUUGAGAGGGGGAAACAUAGAGAACAUCCACUUAGGAAUGAGCUCAAAGUUGCAAUGCCCCAUGUUGUUCAUGAAAUCAACGUAAGUGAUGUACGCAACAAAUGCAGCUAUAGAAGCAGUUCCAGUGAAACAAGUUGUGACCGCCGGUAUAACAAAGAUAGUGUAAUAUGCUACGAUCUCAGCAAACGGAUGAAUAACAGCUGCAACAAUAAAAAACUUUGCUUUGUAAGUAUUUGCAGAUAGGUCAUUGAUUGUCUUUGAAAUUAAACGGAAACCAAGUGACCUACAAGCCAGUAGGCAGGUCUUUAAUAUGCAGAAAGCCAAUCUACAAAGUACUUAUAUUCUCAUCCAUCCCAUUUAAAUCAUAUACGUGACAGCCAUUCUACAAGAUCUUUUUAACAUUAUCUACUGACUACUGUCGAUAUUAUUGUCUAGGUUACUAUGUCAGGCUUAAUAUAAGCUCCUUGUAAUAUCUGAUAUAUUUUCUCAAAGACUGAUUGUUCUGCCUCUAGAAAACUACAUCAAAUUAAACAUAUGAUACAAAACGUUUACGAAGGCCACUUACAAGUGAUGGGCUCAGUAACCAUGGAGGAGUGAUGAUGGGAAUGAUAACGAGAGUAGAGAAAAUGGUGGUGCAGAGCUCUGUGAAGCCAAUAAUAGAGAAACUCCACCGGACCGAGAUGCAUCAAGGCAGUUAUUAUGAUCCCAUCAGUCCUCCACAAAGGCAAGUGAUGAGUCUGUUGGAACUUCAGGUAUGCAAUGUAGAAUAACAUUCCAUUAAAUAUGAUUUGAUCAUCCCUACAAAAAUACUUCAACCUUAAAUCAAUUUUGUCAUGUACAUUUGUUUUGCACGUUCUUUUUUGCUUUGUUGGAUUCUUUUUAGACACUGUCGAAACCUAAUUAGUACUGUCAAAGCAUGGUUUAGACAUGUGCGACCUAGUCCAAGAUUCUGACUCCUAUCAGGUGUAUAGCUUUUCUUCUGGCUGAAACUUUCCCAUAACACCUUCAGCUGGAGAACACUUGAUUUGCAUCAUAACUUUUAAUGCACAAAAGGGUCUUGGUUGUAGCAA